rnacentral:rRNA from 1 species
AGCUCCAAUAGCGUAUAUUAAAGUUGUUGCAGUUAAAAAGCUCGUAGUUGGAUUUCUGGCAGGUGGAGCGGGCCACACACUCUGUGCGUGAGCUUUGUCUCUCACUGGCCAUCCUCGGGGAGAUCCUGUUUGGCAUUAAGUUGUCGGGCAGGGGAUACCCGUCGUUUACUGUGAAAAAAUUAGAGUGUUUAAAGCAGGCUUAUGCCGUUGAAUAUAUUAGCAUGGAAUAAUAAGAUAGGACUUCGGAACUAUUUUGUUGGUUUGCGUUACGAAGUAAUGAUUAAUAGGGACAGUUGGGGGUAUUCGUAUUUCAUUGUCAGAGGUGAAAUUCUUGGAUUUCUGAAAGACGAACUACUGCGAAAGCAUUUACCAAGGAUGUUUUCA